CAUAGGUUAAUGAGGCGAACCGGGGGAACUGAAACAUCUAAGUACCCCGAGGAAAAGAAAUCAACCGAGAUUCCCCCAGUAGCGGCGAGCGAACGGGGAGGAGCCCAGAGCCUGAAUCAGUGUGUGUGUUAGUGGAAGCGUCUGGAAAGGCGCGCGAUACAGGGUGACAGCCCCGUACACAAAAAUGCACAUGCUGUGAGCUCGAUGAGUAGGGCGGGACACGUGGUAUCCUGUCUGAAUAUGGGGGGACCAUCCUCCAAGGCUAAAUACUCCUGACUGACCGAUAGUGAACCAGUACCGUGAGGGAAAGGCGAAAAGAACCCCGGCGAGGGGAGUGAAAAAGAACCUGAAACCGUGUACGUACAAGCAGUGGGAGCACGCUUAGGCGUGUGACUGCGUACCUUUUGUAUAAUGGGUCAGCGACUUAUAUUCUGUAGCAAGGUUAACCGAAUAGGGGAGCCGAAGGGAAACCGAGUCUUAACUGGGCGUUAAGUUGCAGGGUAUAGACCCGAAACCCGGUGAUCUAGCCAUGGGCAGGUUGAAGGUUGGGUAACACUAACUGGAGGACCGAACCGACUAAUGUUGAAAAAUUAGCGGAUGACUUGUGGCUGGGGGUGAAAGGCCAAUCAAACCGGGAGAUAGCUGGUUCUCCCCGAAAGCUAUUUAGGUAGCGCCUCGUGAAUUCAUCUCCGGGGGUAGAGCACUGUUUCGGCAAGGGGGUCAUCCCGACUUACCAACCCGAUGCAAACUGCGAAUACCGGAGAAUGUUAUCACGGGAGACACACGGCGGGUGCUAACGUCCGUCGUGAAGAGGGAAACAACCCAGACCGCCAGCUAAGGUCCCAAAGUCAUGGUUAAGUGGGAAACGAUGUGGGAAGGCCCAGACAGCCAGGAUGUUGGCUUAGAAGCAGCCAUCAUUUAAAGAAAGCGUAAUAGCUCACUGGUCGAGUCGGCCUGCGCGGAAGAUGUAACGGGGCUAAACCAUGCACCGAAGCUGCGGCAGCGACGCUUAUGCGUUGUUGGGUAGGGGAGCGUUCUGUAAGCCUGUGAAGGUGUACUGUGAGGUAUGCUGGAGGUAUCAGAAGUGCGAAUGCUGACAUAAGUAACGAUAAAGCGGGUGAAAAGCCCGCUCGCCGGAAGACCAAGGGUUCCUGUCCAACGUUAAUCGGGGCAGGGUGAGUCGACCCCUAAGGCGAGGCCGAAAGGCGUAGUCGAUGGGAAACAGGUUAAUAUUCCUGUACUUGGUGUUACUGCGAAGGGGGGACGGAGAAGGCUAUGUUGGCCGGGCGACGGUUGUCCCGGUUUAAGCGUGUAGGCUGGUUUUCCAGGCAAAUCCGGAAAAUCAAGGCUGAGGCGUGAUGACGAGGCACUACGGUGCUGAAGCAACAAAUGCCCUGCUUCCAGGAAAAGCCUCUAAGCAUCAGGUAACAUCAAAUCGUACCCCAAACCGACACAGGUGGUCAGGUAGAGAAUACCAAGGCGCUUGAGAGAACUCGGGUGAAGGAACUAGGCAAAAUGGUGCCGUAACUUCGGGAGAAGGCACGCUGAUAUGUAGGUGAAGCGACUUGCUCGUGGAGCUGAAAUCAGUCGAAGAUACCAGCUGGCUGCAACUGUUUAUUAAAAACACAGCACUGUGCAAACACGAAAGUGGACGUAUACGGUGUGACGCCUGCCCGGUGCCGGAAGGUUAAUUGAUGGGGUCAGCGCAAGCGAAGCUCUUGAUCGAAGCCCCGGUAAACGGCGGCCGUAACUAUAACGGUCCUAAGGUAGCGAAAUUCCUUGUCGGGUAAGUUCCGACCUGCACGAAUGGCGUAAUGAUGGCCAGGCUGUCUCCACCCGAGACUCAGUGAAAUUGAACUCGCUGUGAAGAUGCAGUGUACCCGCGGCAAGACGGAAAGACCCCGUGAACCUUUACUAUAGCUUGACACUGAACAUUGAGCCUUGAUGUGUAGGAUAGGUGGGAGGCUUUGAAGUGUGGACGCCAGUCUGCAUGGAGCCGACCUUGAAAUACCACCCUUUAAUGUUUGAUGUUCUAACGUGGACCCGUAAUCCGGGUUGCGGACAGUGUCUGGUGGGUAGUUUGACUGGGGCGGUCUCCUCCUAAAGAGUAACGGAGGAGCACGAAGGUUGGCUAAUCCUGGUCGGACAUCAGGAGGUUAGUGCAAUGGCAUAAGCCAGCUUGACUGCGAGCGUGACGGCGCGAGCAGGUGCGAAAGCAGGUCAUAGUGAUCCGGUGGUUCUGAAUGGAAGGGCCAUCGCUCAACGGAUAAAAGGUACUCCGGGGAUAACAGGCUGAUACCGCCCAAGAGUUCAUAUCGACGGCGGUGUUUGGCACCUCGAUGUCGGCUCAUCACAUCCUGGGGCUGAAGUAGGUCCCAAGGGUAUGGCUGUUCGCCAUUUAAAGUGGUACGCGAGCUGGGUUUAGAACGUCGUGAGACAGUUCGGUCCCUA
rnacentral:rRNA from 1 species